rnacentral:rRNA from 1 species
AGUUUGAUCCUGACAGUUAGACACUGGCGGGAUGCUUUACACAUGCAAGUCGGGCAGCGGCACGGACUUCGGUCUGGUGGCGAGUGGCGAACGGGUGGUAAUGUAUCCGAGACGUGCCUAAGUAGCGGGGGAUAACUACGCAGCGUAGCUAAUACCGCAUACGCCCUUCGGGGGAAAGCAGGGGACCUUCGGGCCUCGCACUAUAGAAGCGGCGGCGUCGGAUUAGCAGCUGGUUGGGUGGACAACGGCUCGCCGGGGCGACGAUCGCCAACUGGGUUUGAAGACGACCAGCCACACUGGGACUGAGACACGGCCCAGACUCCUACGGGGAGGCAGCAGUGAGGAAUUUUGAAUAAUGGGGAAACCUGAUCCAGCCAUCCGCGUGUGCGAUAGAAGGCCUUCGGUUCUCAAGCACUUUGGCCGGAAAGAAACGGCACGGGAUAAUACCCCGUGCAACUGACCGGUACCUGCAGAAUAAGCACCGGCUAACUACGUGCCAGCAGCCAUUAAUACGUGCGGUGCAGCGAUGAAAUCGGAAUUACUGGGCGUAAAGCGUGCGCGAGCGGUUCGGAAGAAAGAUGUGAAAUCCCAGAGCUUAACUUUGGAACUGCAUUUUUAACUACCGAGCUAGAGUGUGUCAGAGGGAGGUGGAAUUCACGUGUAGCAGUGAAAUGCGUAGAUAGUGCGGAGGAACACCGUGCGAAGGCAGCCUCCUGGGAUGCGCUGUGACGCUCGCGGCGACCAGGAGCAAAGCAGGACAGAUACCCUGAUCACCUAAACGAUGUUAUCAACUACUUCAUUCAGGGCCUUCGGGCCUUGGUAGCGCAGCUAACGCGUGAAGUUGACCGCCCUGAGAGUACAGUGUAGAUUAAAACUCCAAAGGAAUUGACCAGGAUUGCUGACGGUGGAUGAUGUCGGAUUAACGUUAAGUGCAACGCGAAAAACCUUACCUACCCUUGACAUGUCGAGAUCCCGAAGAGAUUUGGGAGUGCUCGCAAGAGAACCGGAACACAGGUGCUGCAUGGCUGUCGUCGCAGCUCGUGUCGUGAGAUGUUGGGUUAGUCCCGCAACGACGCAACCCUUGUCAUUAGUUGCUACGAAAGGCGCUCUAAUGAGACUGCCGGUGAUAAACCGGAGGAAGAGUCGAGAUGACGUCAGUCCUCAUGGCCCUUAUGGGUAGGGCUUCACACGUCAUACAAUGGUCAGGACAGAGGGUCGCCAACCCGCGAGAAGGCCAAUCCCAGAAGCCCGAUCGUAGUCCGGAUCACCAGUCUGCAACUCGACUGCGUGAAAUUGAAUGCUUCCCGGUAAUCGCGGAUCAGCAUGUCGCGGUGAAUACGUUCCCGAAGGUCUGUACACACCGCCCGUCACUGUGGGAGUGGGUUUUGCCAAAGUAGUUAGCCUAACCGUAAGGAGGGCGAUUACCACGUCAGGAUUCAUGACUGGGGUGAAGUCGUAACAAGGUAGCUCUGUACUGAUGCUCACAG